GAUGAACGCUGGCGGCGUGCCUAAUACAUGCAAGUCGAACGAACAGACGCGGUGCUUGCUGCUCUGACGUUAUCGGCGGACGGCUGGGUAACAAGUGGAUAACCACCUUAUAACACUUGGAUAACUUCGGGAAACAGGAGGUAAUACCGGAUAAUAUCUUGAACUGCCUGGUUCUAUAUUUAAAGACGAUUUUGCUGUCACUUAUAGAUGGCUCCGCGCCGCAUAAGUUAGUUGGUGAGGUAAGGGCUUCCCAAGCGGAGGCUGCGUAGCCGACCUGAGAGGGUGGUCGGCCACACUGGAAGUGAGACAAGGUCCAGACGCCUACGGGAGGCAGCAGGAGGGGAUCAUCCGCAAAGGGCGAAAGCCUGACGGAGCAACGCCGCGUGAGUGAUGAAGGUCGUCGGAUCGUAAAACUCUGUUAUUAGGGAAGAACAAAUGUGUAAGUAACUAUGCACGUCUUGACGGUACCUAAUCAGAAAGCCACGGCUAACUACGUG
rnacentral:rRNA from 1 species